UACAGAGGGGGCAAGCGUUGUUCGGAAUUACUGGGCGUAAAGGGCGCGUAGGCGGCCCGCUAAGUCGAACGUGAAAUCCCCGAGCUCAACUCGGGAACUGCGUCCGAUACUGGCGGGCUUGAAUCCGGGAGAGGGAUGCGGAAUUCCAGGUGUAGCGGUGAAAUGCGUAGAUAUCUGGAGGAACACCGGUGGCGAAGGCGGCAUCCUGGACCGGCAUUGACGCUGAGGCGCGAAAGCUAGGGAGCAACGGG
rnacentral:rRNA from 1 species